rnacentral:misc_RNA from 1 species
AGCGCAAUGUUGCAUUUUAUGCUUGCCACUAGGGGUAAUGCUGUGCUCUUUGUCCCUAUAGCUUUGCACAUUAGUGGCCUUUAAACUGCAUAUAUUAUGCUAACUCAUGUCCUCCUUGGUUCCGAUGCAACAAUUCUAGAUCAAUAUCAUCCCUUCACUCAUAGGGCCAGGUAGUCAUUCAUGUAAUAGGAUGCAUUCACAUAUGUCCAAUUGUGCAAAUAAUGUGAUGAUUCUGCCCAAAAUCCUAUUUGGGGCAUUUGUUUAGAACCAAAACUGUAAUUCAAUGGAAAAAAUUUGAAAGGGAGGCAAUAUUCUUCCUUUGCAAGUUUUCG